UGUUGUCUUGUGUGUUCAUUCCUUUGUUUAGGAAACACGCGGACCCCAACAUCUGGCGCAGUGAGCAGGGUCCGUGGCUCCACGAGAGCAAGGAACCGGAGGGGGAACACCCCAGGCAGACUGAGUCUCGUUCUGUCACCCAGGCUGGAGUGCUGUGGCGUCACAUUUGACUUUUUAAAGUAUUCUACUUGUGAGCAUGCCUUCUGCUCAACUGCUUUCAAUUGUCUACGCUGCCGUACAUGUCACUGAACUAAUCUGCUAUUUCCUAGAAGACCAUAAACUUUACUGGAGCCUGGUGCAGACGAC